AAAAGGUGGCUAUGCUACCGCUUUUGGAUGGGCCCGCGGCGCAUUAGCUAGUUGGUGGGGUAAAGGCUUACCAAGGCAAUGAUGCGUAGCCGAACUGAGAGGUUGAUCGGCCACAUUGGGACUGAGACACGGCCCAAACUCCUACGGGAGGCAGCAGUAGGGAAUCUUCCACAAUGGGCGAAAGCCUGAUGGAGCAACGCCGCGUGGGUGAAGAAGGUCUUCGGGUCGUAAAACCCUGUUGUUAGAGAAGAAAGUGCGUGAGAGUAACUGUUCACGUUUCGACGGUAUCUAACCAGAAAGCCACGGCUAACUACGUGCCAGCAGCCGCGGUAAUACGUAGGUGGCAAGCGUUAUCCGGAUUUAUUGGGCGUAAAGGGAACGCAGGCGGUCUUUUAAGUCUGAUGUGAAAGCCUUCGGCUUAACCGGAGUAGUGCAUUGGAAACUGGGAGACUUGAGUGCAGAAGAGGAGAGUGGAACUCCAUGUGUAGCGGUGAAAUGCGUAGAUAUAUGGAAGAACACCAGUGGCGAAAGCGGCUCUCUGGUCUGUAACUGACGCUGAGGUUCGAAAGCGUGGGUAGCAAACAGGAUUAGAUACCCUGGUAGUCCACGCC
rnacentral:rRNA from 1 species